rnacentral:rRNA from 1 species
GAUGAACGCUGGCGGCGUGCCUAACACAUGCAAGUCGAGCGGAAAGGCCUUGCGCUUGUGCCGUGCUCGAGUGGCGAACGGGUGAGAAAAACGUGCGUAUCUCCCCCUUGUAUUUCGGAUAAAUUUAGGAAAAUGGGGCUAAUACUGGGUGGAAGCUCCCGUUCCAUUGUGGGAGUUGGAAAGUUAAGGCGGUGGGGGAUGGUCUAGCGGCUUAUGAGCUUGUUGGUGGGGGAGGGGCUUACCAAGGGUUUGACGGGUAGCCGGCCUCGGAGGGUGACCGGGCUCCGUACGACUGCGAUACGGCCCAGACUCCUACGGGAGGCAGCAGUGGGGAAUCUUGCAGGAUGGGCCGACGCCGGAUGCAGCAACCCCGCGUUCGGGAUGGCGACCUUCUGGUGGUAAACCGCUUUCGCCUGUACCGAAGCGUUAGUGACGGUAACUGAUCAAGAAGCACCGGCUAACUACGUG